AUUGAACGCUGGCGGAAUGCUUUACACAUGCAAGUCGAGCGGCAGCGCGGGGCAACCUGGCGGCGAGCGGCGAACGGGUGAGUAAUGCAUCGGAACAUGUCCAUGUCGUGGGGGAUAGCCCGGCGAAAGCCGGAUUAAUACCGCAUACGCCCGAGAGGGGAAAGUGGGGACCGCAAGGCCUCACGCGAUUGGGUUGGCCGAUGUCCGAUUAGCUAGUUGGCGGGGUAANGGCCCACCAAGGCGAUGAUCGGUAGCUGGUCUGAGAGGAUGAUCAGCCACACUGGGACUGAGACACGGCCCAGACUCCUACGGGAGGCAGCAGUGGGGAAUUUUGGACAAUGGGGGCAACCCUGAUCCAGCCAUUCCGCGUGAGUGAAGAAGGCC
rnacentral:rRNA from 1 species